rnacentral:lncRNA from 1 species
GCCCUGCGAGGCCCACAGGGAGCUGCAGCACUGGGAGUGCCGGGCAGACGGGCUGCUGGCCCUCGCCAAGGAGAACCUCUACUUCAACUAUGGCAACAACCAGAACCACGUGGUGAUGCUGUACACGGGGGACGGGCCCUGGAGCCGUUGGGUCGUCUAUGGGAGCCAUGAGGACCUCUGCUUCUGCUCCUCUCAUGUCUGCACCCCAUGUCGCAGGGGGUGGACUUUCUUCCAAGACAGAUGCUACUUCCACUCCCGCUCCCUGGGCACCUGGGAUGCUGCCAACCGCUCCUGUGCCUCUCUAGGUGCCCUGCUCCUCCAGGUGACCAGCCUUGCUGAGCAGGUGAGAGAUGACCAUGUGUGGGGCAGCAGGGUGUCCUGGAGACUAGGGGGAAGCAUGGAAGGGAGGAGCUGGGGAAGGGAUCCAGGAGAAGAAUGAGUGCAGCCUGAAAAGUGACUCCAACUGGGUUGGAGGCAAUAAUUAGAGGGGCCAGAAGGGUAGAGAGCCAGACUGGUCAGGGGAGGAGAGCCCUCUGAAUCCCCUCUGUCUCACUGGAGACCCAGCCAAGGUGCGAGACCAAAUUGCCAGCCAAUCAGUGAAACAACUGGCUGCAAUGGUCCCUGCCCCCACCAGUACAACAGCCCUUCCUCCUCACUGGGUCCCCUCCUGUCACACUGUCUGGAGUGGCUCACAACCAUGAGUGCCAAGCUCAGGGCAGACUGUCGGUAUGCAGGGCACACACCCCAAACCAGCUGUACAGUCUAUAAAUAGGUAUCACCAACCAGGUAACAAAUGUGAACUCCUGAAGCACUACACCAGUCUUGCCACAGACAGUCCCCUGGGGCUCCAGUCUAUAUUGCCAGCCAGGUGCGCUGGGCUAGUGACAGCUGGUUGCCAUACACCAAAGAUCACAAAAGAUACAGGUUGCUUCCAGUCCCAAGAGACCAGUCACUUACUCCCGGUCAAUUUGUACCUCAGAUCUCACACCAAAGACAAUGCUUGUAGCCAAUCCAAUUGUAAACUAAGGAUUUAUUAACUAGGAAAAGGAAACGAGAGAGAUUUACAGGUUAAAGCAGGUAUCAUGUAGACACAAACGAGUUAGUCUAUGGUUCCAAAAGGUGGCAGAACUGUAGUAAUCUGUCCGCUGAAUGUCUUUUAGGGCCAACCCAGCUUGACUUGGGGAUCUCUGCUCCUUUUUCCUAGCUCCAGCCCUAUGAGAGUCCAAACAGCAAAGAUGAAAAACAUUUCUUGUGUCCCUGUUUUAUUCCCCUCUUCCGGCAUUCAAGCUGACGGGAUGGGCUUUCUUACACGUAGCACCUUCAUGGGCGUGAGAGGGCCAUCUCUUUGGAUCAUGACGUUCCACAAUGGCCCAUUUCGUUUCGACAGCCCUUCUCAAUGGGCGGGGAACCAUUCUGCCUGACUGGGUUCAUGAGUUCAG